rnacentral:lncRNA from 1 species
AGGUGGAGAGAACAGAGCUAAUCAGACCCACCAACCCAAACUUCUAUAGCUAUUCUGAGUCUAGAAAACAUCCUCUACUUCCUAUGGAAGAUCGUGUCUGGAUGCACAUGUUUCAUACUAAGCACUUUUCCCUAGGGAAGGACAAAAGCCAUCCUCUUGCUCUCAAGUGAACUGGAGAGUGAGCUGGCCCCUGAAGAGGGAGCCGUAGGGUCUGGCCACCUGGUGUGCAGUGGCUGUGAGCAGAGAUCUGACCACAGGUGGUGUGGGAAGGUUUCACUCUAAUCUGGUGGCACCCGCUGCUCCUCCAGACCUCAGUGCCUCCCUUCAGCUCAUCCUCUUGAUAGGCUCUCACCACGAUCCUGGAUUCUAUCACCACUCAGCCCUCUCCAGCCUGUUAGCCACCAGCAGGGCCUGAUAAUGGACUCUGUGUUACUUUGGUCUCCAGGUGAAAUCCCUAAGGGCCCUGCCAUGCACUCCAGUCCUGUGCCCCUUGCCUUCAAGGAGACAUGCAAGAAGCGAAGCCACCAGAGGCCCAUCCUUCCUGCUGUUUUAAGGACCUCUGGUGGCUUCACUUCUUGCAUGUCUCCUUGAAGGCAAGGGUCACAGGACUGGAGUGCAUGGCAGGGCCCUUAGGGAUUUCACCUGGAGACCAAAGUAACACAGAGUCCAUUAUCAGGCCCUGCUGGUGGCUAACAGGCUGGAGAGGGCUGAGUGGUGAUAGAAUCCAGGAUCGUGGUGAGAGCCUAUCAAGAGGAUGAGCUGAAGGGAGGCACUGAGGUCUGGAGGAGCAGCGGGUGCCACCAGAUUAGAGUGAAACCUUCCCACACCACCUGUGGUCAGAUCUCUGCUCACAGCCACUGCACACCAGGUGGCCAGACCCUACGGCUCCCUCUUCAGGGGCCAGCUCACUCUCCAGUUCACUUGAGAACAAGAGGAUGGCUUUUGUCCUUCCCUAGGGAAAAGUGCUUAGUAUGAAACAUGUGCAUCCAGACACGAUCUUCCGUAGGAAGUAGAGGAUGUUUUCUAGACUGAGAAUAGCUAUAGAAGUUUGGGUUGGUGGGUCUGAUUAGCUCUGUUCUCUCCACCUUCUCUCUUUGCUUCUCUAAUUGGUGAAUGGUGUGGUCAGGGAGGAAAGGGGCCUGGGAGUGCCCUCCCACCCCUGGAAAUGUGACUGAACUGAGCCUGAAGCCUCUGGUGUUCUUCUCUAAGAAGAACUUGGUUGUCAUUGCAGAGCUGAGGUGUGGACUCCAGGCCCGGACUGUAGAAGUAAAAGGUGGAGCCUGUCCUGGGAAAUGCAGGCAGGCAAGUCACACAUUUGAGUAACAGAGGCUCUCUGCUCAUUCUGAUUCUCCAAACAUCUUGUCCAACCCAGCAGAAGACCAUGAGGAGCUCAACUCCUGAAUGUAGAGCCUUGUGGGCCCUGUGUCUUCUCCGUGUGGGUUCUUUGUGUGCAUUUCGCA